rnacentral:rRNA from 1 species
UACGUAGGUGGCAAGCGUUGUCCGGAAUUAUUGGGCGUAAAGCGCGCGCAGGCGGUCCUUUAAGUCUGAUGUGAAAGCCCACGGCUCAACCGUGGAAGGUCAUUGGAAACUGGGGGACUUGAGUACAGAAGAGGAAAGCGGAAUUCCACGUGUAGCGGUGAAAUGCGUAGAGAUGUGGAGGAACACCAGUGGCGAAGGCGGCUGUCUGGUCUGUAACUGACGCUGAGGCGCGAAAGCGUGGGGAGCAAACAGG